rnacentral:rRNA from 1 species
UACGGAAGGUGCAAGCGUUAUCCGGAAUCACUGGGCGUAAAGGGCGCGUAGGCGGCUCGGUAAGUAGGGGGUGAAAUCCUGCGGCUUAACCGCAGGGCUGCCUUCUAAACUGUCGAGCUUGAGCACGGUAGAGGCAGAUGGAAUUCCCGGUGUAGCGGUGGAAUGCGUAGAGAUCGGGAAGAACAUCAGUGGCGAAGGCGGUCUGCUGGGCCGUUGCUGACGCUGAGGCGCGACAGCGUGGGGAGCAAACAGG